CUUAUAGUGGGGGAGUAGCCUUUCGAAAGGAAGAUUAAUACCGCAUAAGAUUGUAGUAUCGCAUGAUAUAGCAAUUAAAGGAGCAAUCCGCUAUAAGAUGGACCCGCGUCGCAUUAGCUAGUUGGUGAGGUGAUGGCUCACCAAGGCGACGAUGCGUAGCCGACCUGAGAGGGUGAUCGGCCACAUUGGGACUGAGACACGGCCCAGACUCCUACGGGAGGCAGCAUG
rnacentral:rRNA from 1 species